GAUUGGCAAAAUUACAUACAAUUUCAUAUAAAGUAGAACUCCAACAGUUAAGUUUUGUCAUGCACCAACUUUGAGCAAAAAAAUUCCCUCAAAUCUCUCACCUGUCACCUGCAUUUUUCCUUUUCCACCCUGCAAAAUCUUGGAUUGUACAUAAACUAUAGAAGAUUUUAUACUGAAAAAGUGAGAAUGUUGGUUAAUAAUGGCUGGGAAUCAAGAAAAAUUGAGGGCUUUAAGACCUUUACUAACAGUUGUAUGGAGCUUUCUGUUGGCUUCAAUAUUUGUUUCUGCUGAAAUAAGAAGCUCAAAGCAGAAAUUUUCAACACAUAAUGCAACAUUCUAAUUUAGAUGUUUUAACAAAUUAUCAAAAUUUUACACUGCAAGCAUCAAAUCUUGGUACCAGCACGUUUGGCCGGCGUAUUAAAUCAUUGAUUGAACUCCAACAGUUAAGUUUUGUCAUGCACCAACUUUGAGCAAAAAAAUUCCCUCAAAUCUCUCACCACCUGCAUUUUUCCUUUUCCACCCUGCAAAAUCUGGGAUUGUACAUAAACUAUAGAAGAUUUUAUACUGAAAAAGUGAGAAUGUUGGUUAAUAAUGGCUGGGAAUCAAGAAAAAUUGAGGGCUUUAAGACCUUUACUAACAGUUGUAUGGAGCUUUCUGUUGGCUUCAAUAUUUGUUUCUGCUGAAAUAAGAAGCUCAAAGCAGAAAUUUUCAACACAUAGUGCAACAUU
rnacentral:lncRNA from 1 species